rnacentral:rRNA from 1 species
GACGAACGCUGGCGGCGUGCUUAACACAUGCAAGUCGAACGGAAAGGCCCUGCUUUUGUGGGGUGCUCGAGUGGCGAACGGGUGAGUAACACGUGAGUAACCUGCCCUUGACUUUGGGAUAACUUCAGGAAACUGGGGCUAAUACCGGAUAGGAGCUCCUGCUGCAUGGUGGGGGUUGGAAAGUUUCGGCGGUUGGGGAUGGACUCGCGGCUUAUCAGCUUGUUGGUGGGGUAGUGGCUUACCAAGGCUUUGACGGGUAGCCGGCCUGAGAGGGUGACCGGGCAAAAUGGGAAUGGAAAUCGGCCCCGAACGCUAACGGAGGGAAGCGGUGGGGAUAUUUGCCAAUGGGGGGAAGCCUGAUGCAGCAACGCCGCGUGCGGGAUGACGGCCUUCGGGUUGUAAACCGCUUUCGCCUGUGACGAAGCGUGAGUGACGGUAAUGGGUAAAGAAGCACCGGCUAACUACGUG